CCACAAAGUGAUAAAAAGCUGCCAGGAGCUCCAGCACCUUCUGAGCAUGAAACCAUUCCUCUCAGUGUUUCAUGCCAAAGCCCAUGAUUUUAAAUGCGAGGUUAAAUGGAGUGGAGCUUACCAGCAAGGGGCCGGAUUGACACUUGGGGAGGAGGUUGAGCAGUGUAACGCCUUCCUCUCUAGGAUUGCUGUGACCACAAAGCACAUGUCCAAAGCAGGAUGUACAGACAUGCUUACACUGAUGGCCAUGCGCUGGAAUCAGCAAAAGUUUAAUAACUUGGCUGCUUCACUUGC